CUGAAGAGUUUGAUCAUGGCUCAGAUUGAACGCUGGCGGCAGGCUUAACACAUGCAAGUCGAGCGGAGAUGAGGUGCUUGCACCUUAUCUUAGCGGCGGACGGGUGAGUAAUGCUUAGGAAUCUGCCUAUUAGUGGGGGACAACAUUCCGAAAGGAAUGCUAAUACCGCAUACGCCCUACGGGGGAAAGCAGGGGAUCUUCGGACCUUGCGCUAAUAGAUGAGCCUAAGUCGGAUUAGCUAGUUGGUGGGUAAAGGCCUACCAAGGCGACGAUCUGUAGCGGGUCUGAGAGGAUGAUCCGCCACACUGGGACUGAGACACGGCCCAGACUCCUAC
rnacentral:rRNA from 14 species